rnacentral:rRNA from 1 species
GACGAACGCUGGCGGCGUGCCUAACACAUGCAAGUCGAACGAAGCAUAGCAAUAUGCUUAGUGGCGGACGGGUGAGUAACGCGUGAACAAUCUGCCCUGUACAAAGGAAUAGCCUCGGGAAACCGGGAUUAAAACCGUAUGACACUUUAGUAUCGCAUGAUAAGAAAGUCAAAUCGAAUAGAGGUAUGGGAUGAGUUCGCGUCUGAUUAGCUGGUUGGCGGGGUAACGGCCACCAAGGCGACGAUCAGUAGCCGGCCUGAGAGGGUGAACGGCCACACUGGAACUGAGACACGGUCCAGACUCCUACGGGAGGCAGCAGUGGGGAAUAUUGCACAAUGGAGGGAACUCUGAUGCAGCGACGCCGCGUGAGUGAAGAAGGUCUUCGGAUCGUAAAACUCUGUCCUUGGUGAAGAAAAGGACGGUAGCCAAGGAGGAAGCCCCGGCUAACUACGUG